rnacentral:rRNA from 1 species
GAUGAACGCUAGCUACAGGCUUAACACAUGCAAGUCGAGGGGAAACGCCAUCGAAAGCUUGCUUUUGAUGGGCGUCGACCGGCGCACGGGUGAGUAACGCGUAUCCAACCUGCCCAUCACUUGGGAAUAACCUUGCGAAAGUAAGACUAAUACCCAAUGAUAUCCCACGAAGGCAUCGGAAUGGGAUUAAAGAUUUAUCGGUGAUGGAUGGGGAUGCGUCUGAUUAGCUUGUUGGCGGGGUAACGGCCCACCAAGGCAACGAUCAGUAGGGGUUCUGAGAGGAAGGUCCCCCACAUUGGAACUGAGACACGGGCCAAACUCCUACGGGAGGCAGCAGUGAGGAAUAUUGGUCAAUGGGCGAGAGCCUGAACCAGCCAAGUAGCGUGCAGGAAGACGGCCCUAUGGGUUGUAAACUGCUUUUAUAAGGGAAUAAAGUGGGUCACGUGUGACUUUUUGCAUGUACCGUAGGAAUAAGGACCGGCUAAUUCCGU